AUAAUUAUAAGAAAAUAGGAGAUUAGGUUCAGAAAUAAACAACAACCAACUGUGGGCCUGAUGGCCAAGGCCAAGGUUGCACUGUGCUCUCAUCAGGGCCUCACUGCUGGCACAACUCUUCCUGGACCUCCCCAACCCCUUUUAGACUCUUGACUCCUCCACUGCCACCAAGAAUGUCAUGACUUCCUCCCUUAAGCAACAAAGUCCGAGGUGGGACUUUCCAAUUGGCUGAGCCUAGGUCAUGUGCUCAAGUGCCAGUCACAGAGGACUCUGGGAGUGGGGAUUAUCUGACACCCUUUGGCUUUCCCCUUAGGAAAUCUACCAAGACCCACCCAAUGGGGAACUGUUCCUAACAGAGAGUUCAAUGCCUCAUAGCCAAGAACAAAACAAAACAAAAAAACAAGAAAUGAGAAUUGAUUGCCACGGUAUGCACGUGCUCUUCUGCCUAUCAAGAGGUCAAGAGGUGGGGUCUAGCUCUGCUUGAGUCUGGGCUGACAUCCUGAAGUGCUUUGACCACCAGAAGUCUACAGAGGUGCUGUUUUGCCUAGCAUCUUUUACUUUCCCUCUGGAAACCAGCUGCCAUGUAAAAAGUCUGGCUGUAUAGAGACUCCAUGCCGUGAGGAAGCCCAAGCUAGUGGUAUUGAGAGGCCACAUAGAGGAGAGCCAAGGUAUCUGACAUAUGAGGAAACCCUUCUCAGACUUUCCAACCUAGCCCAGCCACCAGUUCAGUGCAGUUGAAUUUGUGACCUCAGCUGAUGUCACCUGGAGCAGAAAACCACACAGCUAGGGCCAGUCUACCAACAGAAUCAUGAGAAAUAAUAAAUAUUGUUUAUGACACUAAAUUUUAUGGUUU
rnacentral:lncRNA from 1 species